CACAAAGAGCACCGGGAGAGGGGAGGAGCUGGUCACCACCAGCACUGCCCACCUGUUUUAAGCAGUCCGAGCAGUCCCAGCGCCCUCAGAAGAGACCCUUGCCCUCUGAUCCGAAAUCUUGCUGGCAGCCGGGCCACUGGGCUCUGCUCCUGGCAGACAUCAUCUCCAGCCCCAGGGUGCAGCUUCCUGCCAUAGCUGGUCUCAGGGUGGCCUCUUCCACCCCUGCUUUCCCUUUGUGCUCUUUCUUUCAUCACCUAUGUAAUGAAUUCUCUGCACGAAAUUCCCUCUCCCAUGCUGUAUGUUCUGUUUUCCAGACUAACACAGACUGAGACAAGUGGAUUUGCAGAGGACCCUGGACUCAGUUGCCAUGGAUCCCAGGUUGCAAGUUAUGUAAUCUGAGCAUUUCCAGAUGAACCAAGCACACAACCAUGGGCAGAACCCAAGUGCUAGAACCAAGGAAGGAGGAACGAGUUCAGAGCGGACACCUCAUGGCCUGAUCCAGGAUGCGAUCAGAUCCAGCCCUGGCAUCACUUCAUUGCAAGAACCAAUCGGACCGCGCCUCAUUACCCUCUGCCUGUAAAACCUGCCCCAUCCCCCAGCUAGGGAAGACAAAUUUGCGCGUUGCCUCCUGUCUCCUUGCCAUUCAACUUACAAUGCAGCCUUUCUUUUCAUGAAAAGCUGGUGCCAUAGUAGUGGCUGCUAUGAGCAUUGGGCAGGGAGCCCACUGCUUCCUUGGAAGCAUAAGGAGGGCCCUGGAGUUGUGGGUAACAGGAGAUGCACCGAGCCUAAGUACUUCCUGUGGGUGGCCCCUGCUGUUGUUCCCGUUUGCCUAAAUGUUAUGAGUAAACCAAGUGCUGAAAAAUC